AGUGCGGUAGUUUAGUGGAAAAACUGUAUCUCCCCAAUAUAAGACGGCGGUUCGAUUCCGCCCCGCACUU
rnacentral:tRNA from 1 species